UUGCUGAGAUGUCAACUGAUGAUUUGUCAAAUUAACUGCCAACAGCUUUGCCAAAGCAAACGCCCUCUCUCUCACUCGACCCACCAUCAUUGUGGCUUCACCUCUCCUCCAAACUCUAAAACUACCCACCAUCGUUGUCGCUUCAUCUCUUCUCCAAACUUCAAAACGUUUCAUCAAGAAGUCAUAGGAGAUCCGACCCUCUUCAGAGAAGUACUAGCCUUGCUUGUAAACAUAGAAAUCCUAGUGUGUUGAUUGGUCCUGUUAGGAAUGGUGGUCGCUUCGAGAAUAGCAAUUGGAUGCCUUUGCUCUCCCUCUCAGAAUGAAUUUUGUUAUUAUUGUUGACUAGGUUCAUAGAAAGUUUCAAUUUUGGUAUAGUAUAAAUAGAUUGUAUUGGGCCUUUAAAGUUCUUAGUUGUUUUUCCAUUUUUUUUGGGGCAAAAUUUGAAUUUUUAUCUGUAGUUAGAAUUUUAUUGCCUUCCUUCUAGGUUCUUUCUUGAUUUACUUGGGACUAAACUAUUUGAAAUUGUCCUAUUUUGUUGAAAAUUGAUUUAUUUAUUUACUCAAAGUUAUGGUUUUUGGA